GUCUAUGGCCAUACCACCUUGAACAAGCCAGGCCUCAUCUGAUCCCAGAAGCUAAGCAGAGUUGGGUCUCCUCAGUUCGUGGACA
ensembl:rRNA 5S_rRNA 5S ribosomal RNA